GUUUGAUCAUGGCUCAGAACGAACGCUGGCGGCAGGCCUAACACAUGCAAGUCGAGCGCGCCCUUCGGGGUGAGCGGCGGACGGGUUAGUAACGCGUGGGAAUAUACCCGACACUAAGGAAUAGCCUCUGGAAACGGAGAGUAAUACCUUAUACGCCCUUCGGGGGAAAGAUUCAUCGGUGACGGAUUAGCCCGCGUUAGAUUAGAUAGUUGGUGGGGUAAUGGCCUACCAAGUCUACGAUCUAUAGCUGGUUUUAGAGGAUGAUCAGCAACACUGGGACUGAGACACGGCCCAGACUCCUACGGGAGGCAGCAGUGGGGAAUCUUGGACAAUGGGCGCAAGCCUGAUCCAGCCAUGCCGCGUGAGUGAUGAAGGCCUUAGGGUCGUAAAGCUCUUUCGCCAGAGAUGAUAAUGACAGUAUCUGGUAAAGAAACCCCGGCUAACUCCGUGCCAGCAGCCGCGGUAAUACGGAGGGGGUUAGCGUUGUUCGGAAUUACUGGGCGUAAAGCGCGCGUAGGCGGAUUAGUAAGUUAGAGGUGAAAUCCCGGGGCUCAACCCCGGAACUGCCUUUAAUACUGCUAGUCUUGA
rnacentral:rRNA from 1 species